UACGUAGGGUGCAAGCGUUGUUCGGAAUCAUUGGGCGUAAAGCGCGCGUAGGUGGCUAGUUAAGUUGGAUGUGAAAUCCCUGGGCUCAACCGAGGAAGUGCAUUCAAAACUGGCUGGCUAGAAGAUGGUAGAGGAAGGUGGAAUUCCAAGUGUAGAGGUGAAAUUCGUAGAUAUUUGGAGGAACACCGGCGGCGAAGGCGGCCUUCUGGGCCAUUCUUGACACUGAGACGCGAAAGCGUGGGGAGCAAACAGG
rnacentral:rRNA from 1 species